rnacentral:rRNA from 1 species
AUUGAACGCUGGCGGCAUGCCUUACACAUGCAAGUCGAACGGCAGCACGGGAGCUUGCUCCUGGUGGCGAGUGGCGAACGGGUGAGUAAUACAUCGGAACGUACCCAGUAGUGGGGGAUAACGCACCGAAAGGUGCGCUAAUAACGCAUACGACCUAAGGGUGAAAGCGGGGGAUCGCAAGGCCUCGCGCUAUUGGAUCGGCCGAUGUCUGAUUAGCUAGGUGGCGGGGUAAAGGCCCACCAAGGCGACGAUCAGUAGCUGGUCUGAGAGGACGAUCAGCCACACUGGGACUGAGACACGGCCCAGACUCCUACGGGAGGCAGCAGUGGGGAAUUUUGGACAAUGGGGGCAACCCUGAUCCAGCAAUGCCGCGUGUGCGAAGAAGGCCUUCGGGUUGUAAAGCACUUUUGUCAGGGAAGAAAUCUUUCAGGCUAAUACCCUUGGAAGGAUGACGGUACCUGAAGAAUAAGCACCGGCUAACUACGUGCCAGCCGCCGCAGUAA